GACGAACGCUGGCGGCGUGCUUAACACAUGCAAGUCGAACGGAAAGGCCCUGCUUUUGUGGGGUGCUCGAGUGGCGAAUGGGUGAGUAACACGUGAGUAACCUGCCCUUGACUUUGGGAUAACUUCAGGAAACUGGGGCUAAUACCGGAUAGGAGCUCCUGCUGCAUGGUGGGGGUUGGAAAGUUUCGGCGGUUGGGGAUGGACUCGCGGCUUAUCAGCUUGUUGGUGGGGUAGUGGCUUACCAAGGCUUUGACGGGUAGCCGGCCUGAGAGGGUGACCGGCCACAUUGGGACUGAGAUACGGCCCAGACUCCUACGGGAGGCAGCAGUGGGGAAUAUCGCACAAUGGGCGGAAGCCUGAUGCAGCAACGCCGCGUGCGGGAUGACGGCCUUCGGGUUGUAAACCGCUUUCGCCUGUGACGAAGCGUGAGUGACGGUAAUGGGUAAAGAAGCACCGGCUAACUACGUG
rnacentral:rRNA from 1 species